rnacentral:tRNA from 1 species
GGGGAUUUGGCUCAGUGGUAGAGCGCUUGCCUAGGAAGCGCAAGGUCCUGGGUCCGAUCCCCAGCCCCC